UACGAGGGGGGCAAGCGUUGUUCGGAAUUAUUGGGCGUAAAGGGCGCGUAGGCGGUUUGACAAGUCUGAUGUGAAAUCUCUGGGCUCAACCCAGAGUCUGCAUUAGAAACUGUCGGGCUUGAGUAUGGGAGAGGUGAGUGGAAUUUCCGGUGUAGCGGUGAAAUGCGUAGAUAUCGGAAGGAACACCUGUGGCGAAAGCGGCUCACUGGACCAUAACUGACGCUGAGGCGCGAAAGCUAGGGGAGCGAACAGG
rnacentral:rRNA from 1 species